AUAUGGCAAAGGUUGUCCAUGAUUGCAAAAUUCCAAGUGGUGAAGGGUUAAUACUUUAUGUAUUGGAUGGAACCGACACUCCUCCUGUAACUUUUAAAUCAAAGGGGACAACCAGUACAGAUUAAACGGACAAGCAAUAGAAUUCAAGCAGCUGAACAUCCAUGUUUGGGAAGCCUUUGAGAAGGGGUAGAAUAUCACAAGCAGGGGAUAGAGGAUAGAAGAAUGUAAAAAGAUUAUAAAUAUAUCUCAUUUCAUUCCAAUUUUAAAUAAAUAUAUAAAUAGAAAAUUAGUUAUUAUCUAUGUAACCAAUUUAUGUAUCGCUCUAGUAUUUUGGUGAAUGUAUUAUUUGAAUAUAAUUGGAUUUGAUAUUAAAAUAUAAUUAGAUUGUGUUGGA